GGGCGAAAGCAUAAACUAAACUUAUUACUUGAUAAAUCUAACAGUUCUAAGGUCUUCUCUGGUCCAGUAAGGGCCAUUUUAAUUGUGUAUUCAAUGUUACAUAGAUACACUUGAGUAAUAUUUAAUAUUUUUUAUUUAGGGUCAAAACGCUGGAAAACGAAAAUUUAAUGUUGGAAGGAGCAAUUAAGAAAAAUCUUGUAGAAAAAGCGGAGUUGACAAAACAGCUAAAACAGCAGUAAGAUUUUAAUUACAGAUAAUAUGUUAACUGGGGUUUUAGCCAUUGAGCUCCAUAUAUAUCUGGAGUGCAGGUCUCGAAAUAAGUGCUGGUCAUUGGUCAUUGUCCGGUAAUUUGUUUCAUUUCGACGGGCAGAUACUGUAUCUUACCGGACACACAUGACCGGCGAGUUUUUCUAAUGUGAAAAUGCGUUCCCGAGCGAAUUUUUGUUUCCCACAAUUUCGUGUUGACUGAGAAAAGUGGAAGUUUGUAAUCAUACCUGCACAAGUUCACUUAAAAUAGGUGUAAAUAAGAAAAUCAAAAGAUGACCGGCAAAACAUCCAUCUUCACCAGCAAAUUUAAUAAUGCACCGGUCAUGAUGGCACCUUUCAGAUUAACCUGAGAAUCAGGCCCAUUCAAAUUUUCAUUCGCCAGGAUUAAUUGAUAGAGCCUGAUACUCAGGUUACUUUCAGAUUUAUUUCGAGGCCUGCUGGAGUGAGAUCUCGAGUCAACAAGUGUUGCCUAGCAACAUGUUAUUAAGAAUUUUAGGGGGCAGAACUAACAGCUUUUUGGGCCUCGCUUAGGGAUAGAAUCCGGGCCGUGUGUGAGUAUGUAACUACGAGGAGUGAGUAUCGUACUUCAAUUUUCAACCCCAGUCAUACAUUUUAGUUAAGCCCCACCCAAAUUCGCCAGAAUUUUCAAACGAGAAUACAGGGCCGUCGGAAUAAAUCUAAAAAUGCUUUUGCACUUUUCGGCUUUUGUUUGUUUUGCUUAAAAAAUAUGGCCUGCCAGUCUAAAAUUUUUGGCAGGUGAAAUAAAUUUCAGCCUGCCAUUUUAUUCAUUGAACUGCCAAAAUGCCCCAGCCCCCGGCUUCUGACGGCCUUGGAACCACAAACAUUUUGGCGAAUGACGGGAUGAACAGAUUAUUGUUUUGUGUUUUAUUUAACUACAAAAAUGUUGCUAAUUAAUAAAGUUGUGUGCACAAUCUUCAAUAUCUACUACUAGUUUUUGUAUCUGCGCGUAGCGCAGAUAUAUUGCUAUCGCGUCAGUCCGUAAAGUAAAGUAAAGUAAAGUAAAGUAAAGUAAGUAAGUUAAGUUAAGUUGUUAAGUCCGUCAACC
rnacentral:lncRNA from 1 species